AGCUCAUGGACAGAGGGCGGCCGUACACGGCGCCGAUGGACACGAGGCGGCCAUCCACUCCCCUUGGCGCCCUACAAUGUUGCUCUCUCCCCCCUGCGAAACCCUAGCCGCAUCUCCUUCCUCUCCCUCGUGCCACGAUCUCCUCUGCUUGCACCGCCCGAGUGACACCGCCGCCAUGCCGCCUCCACAGACGCCCCCACCGGCCUCCCCAAGCCCUGAGACAGCGACCAGGAGGACAACCACCAUCGAAUUCGUCCAUCCCGAGCAUCAAAUCGAGCGGAGCUGCACCGAAUCGCCGCCAUCGAGUUCGUCUUCGACAUCCUGCACCGCCGGCCGCCAUCGUCGAUUCGCUCGACCCCGACCGUCCCCGGCCUCCCCAACCACGUCCGUGGCUCCUUGAUGGUGGAUCCCUGGAGCCAGAUGCCACCGCCGAUGGAUGCUGCUACAUGGAGACCAUCGAUGACUAGGAGUAGUUAUAGGAGGUCCCAGGCAGGAGGCCUUGCCUCUUCGAUCGUGUUGCUUUUGUGCUAGCCUUCUUAAGGCAUCCUUGUUUAACUUAUGUCUGUACUCAGAUAUUGCUGCUUCCGCUGAAUCUUGUGUAUCGAGCUUGUAUUCGAGCCCUCGAGGCCCCUGGCUUGUAAUAUAAAGCUUGUAUUAUUUUGAUUUG